rnacentral:rRNA from 1 species
AGAUUGAACGCUGGCGGCAGGCCUAACACAUGCAAGUCGAGCGGUAGAGAGGUGCUUGCAUCUCUUGAGAGCGGCGGACGGGUGAGUAAUGCCUAGGAAUCUGCCUAGUGGUGGGGGAUAACGUUCGGAAACGGACGCUAAUACCGCAUACGUCCUACGGGAGAAAGCGGGGGAUCUUCGGACCUCGCGCCAUUAGAUGAGCCUAGGUCGGAUUAGCUAGUUGGUGAGGUAAUGGCUCACCAAGGCGACGAUCCGUAACUGGUCUGAGAGGAUGAUCAGUCACACUGGAACUGAGACACGGUCCAGACUCCUACGGGAGGCAGCAGUGGGGAAUAUUGGACAAUGGGCGAAAGCCUGAUCCAGCCAUGCCGCGUGUGUGAAGAAGGUCUUCGGAUUGUAAAGCACUUUAAGUUGGGAGGAAGGGUAGUAACCUAAUACGUUGCUACUUUGACGUUACCGACAGAAUAAGCACCGGCUAACUUCGUG